UACGUAGGGUGCAAGCGUUAAUCGGAAUUACUGGGCGUAAAGAGUGCGUAGGCGGUUUUCUAAGUUUGGUGUGAAAUCUCCCGGCUUAACUGGGAGGGUGCGCCGAAGACUGGAAGGCUUGAGUAUGGGAGAGGUAAGCGGAAUUCCUGGUGUAGCGGUGAAAUGCGUAGAUAUCAGGAGGAACACCUGCGGUGUAGACGGCUUACUGGACCAUAACUGACGCUGAGGCACGAAAGCGUGGGUAGCAAACAGG
rnacentral:rRNA from 1 species